ensembl:snRNA U6 U6 spliceosomal RNA
GCUUACUUUGGCUAGAUCUAUACUAAAAUUGGAAUUAUCUAGAGAAGGCCAGCAUGGCCCCUACAGAAGGACAACAAACACAUUUGUGCAGUGUUCCACAGUUUU